rnacentral:rRNA from 1 species
UACGUAGGGUGCGAGCGUUGUCCGGAAUUAUUGGGCGUAAAGGGCUCGUAGGCGGUUUGUCGCGUCGGGAGUGAAAACACCGGGCUUAACUCGGUGCUUGCUUUCGAUACGGGCAGACUAGAGGUAUGCAGGGGAGAACGGAAUUCCUGGUGUAGCGGUGAAAUGCGCAGAUAUCAGGAGGAACACCGGUGGCGAAGGCGGUUCUCUGGGCAUUACCUGACGCUGAGACGCGAAAGCGUGGGGAGCAAACAGG